AAAAUGACUCUCGGCAACGGAUAUCUCGGCUCUCGCAUCGAUGAAGAAACUAGCGAAAUGCGAUACUUGGUGUGAAUUGCAGAAUCCCGUGAACCAUCGAGUCUUUGAACGCAAGUUGCGCCCGAAACCAUUAGGUUGAGGGCACGUCUGCCUGGGUGUCACGC
rnacentral:rRNA from 1 species